rnacentral:rRNA from 1 species
UACGUAGGGUGCAAGCGUUAAUCGGAAUUACUGGGCGUAAAGCGUGCGCAGGCGGUUAUGUAAGACAGAUGUGAAAUGCCCGGGCUUAACCUGGGAACUGCAUUUGUGACUGCAUGGCUAGAGUUUGGCAGAGGGGGGUAGAAUUCCACGUGUAGCAGUGAAAUGCGUAGAUAUGUGGAGGAACACCGAUGGCGAAGGCAGCCCCCUGGGUCAAGACUGACGCUCAUGCACGAAAGCGUGGGGAGC